rnacentral:rRNA from 1 species
AUUGAACGCUGGCGGCAGGCCUAACACAUGCAAGUCGUGCGGAUGAAGGGAGCUUGCUCCUGGAUUCAGCGGCGGACGGGUGUGUAAUGCCUAGGAAUCUGCCUGGUAGUGGGGGAUAACGUCCGGAAACGGGCGCUAAUACCGCAUACGUCCUGAGGGAGAAAGUGGGGGAUCUUCGGACCUCACGCUAUCAGAUGAGCCUAGGUCUGAUUCGCUAGUUGGUGGGGUAAAGGCCUACCAAGGCGACGAUCCGUAACUGGUCUGAGAGUAUGAUCAGUCACGCUGGAACUGAGACACGGGCCAGACUCCUACGGGAGGCAGCAGUGGGGAAUAUUGGACGAUGGGCGAAAGCCUGAUCCAGCAAUGCCGCGUGUGUGAAGAAGGUCUUCGGAUUGUAAAGCACUAUAAGUUGGGAGGAAGGGCAGUAAGUUAAGAACUUGCUGUUUUGACGUUACCAACAGAAUAAGCACCGGCUAACUUCGUG